rnacentral:rRNA from 1 species
AGUGAACGCUGGCGGUAGGCCUAACACAUGCAAGUCGAACGGCAGCACAGUAAGAGCUUGCUCUUACGGGUGGCGCGUGGCGGACGGGUGAGGAAUACAUCGGAAUCUACUUUUUCGUGGGGGAUAACGUAGGGAAACUUACGCUAAUACCGCAUACGACCUACGGGUGAAAGCAGGGGAUCUUCGGACCUUGCGCGAUUGAAUGAGCCUAUGUCGGAUUAGCUAGUUGGCGGGGUAAAGGCCCACCAAGGCGACGAUCCGUAGCUGGUCUGAGAGGAUGAUCAGCCAGACUGGAACUGAGACACGGCCCAGACUCCUACGGGAGGCAGCAGUGGGGAAUAUUGGACAAGGGGGGCAAGCCUGAUCCAGCCAUACCGCGUGAGUGAAGAAGGACUUCGGGUUGUAAAGCCCUGUUGUUGGGAAAGAAAAGCAGCAGGUUAAUACCCCGCGGUUCUGACGGUACCCAAAGAAUAAGCACCGGCUAACUUCGUG